AUUGAACGCUGGCGGCAUGCCUUACACAUGCAAGUCGAACGGUAACGGGCCUUCGGGUGCCGACGAGUGGCGAACGGGUGAGUAAUGUAUCGGAACGUACCUUUCAGUGGGGGAUAACGUAGCGAAAGUUACGCUAAUACCGCAUAUCCUGUGAGCAGGAAAGCAGGGGGUCGCAAGACCUUGCGCUGAUUGAGCGGCCGAUGUCAGAUUAGCUAGUUGGUGAGGUAAAGGCUCACCAAGGCGACGAUCUGUAGCGGGUCUGAGAGGAUGAUCCGCCACACUGGAACUGAGACACGGUCCAGACUCCUACGGGAGGCAGCAGUGGGGAAUUUUGGACAAUGGGGGCAACCCUGAUCCAGCCGUGCCGCGUGAGUGAAGAAGGCCUUCGGGUUGUAAAGCUCUUUCGGCCGGGAGGAAAUCGCACGGGCUAAUACCCUGUGUGGAUGACGGUACCGGAAUAAGAAGCACCGGCUAACUACGUGCCAGCAGCCGCAGUAAAAC
rnacentral:rRNA from 1 species